UACGGAGGGUGCAAACGUUGCUCGGAAUUAUUGGGCGUAAAGCGCACGUAGGCGGUCUAGCAAGUCGGGUGUGAAAGCCCUCAGCUUAACUGAGGAAGUGCAUUCGAAACUACUAGGCUUGAGUACUGAAGAGGACGACGGAAUUCCCGGUGUAGAGGUGAAAUUCGUAGAUAUCGGGAAGGAACACCAGUGGCGAAGGCGGUCGUCUGGGCAGAUACUGACGCUGAGGAGCGAAAGCCAGGGGAGCAAACGGG
rnacentral:rRNA from 1 species